rnacentral:rRNA from 1 species
CGCGGCCUAUCAGCUUGUUGGUGGGGUAACGGCUCACCAAGGCAUCGACGGGUAGCUGGUCUGAGAGGACGAUCAGCCACACUGGGACUGAGACACGGCCCAGACUCCUGCGGGAGGCAGCAGUGGGGAAUCUUGCGCAAUGGGCGAAAGCCUGACGCAGCAACGCCGCGUGGGGGAUGAAGGCUCUCGGGUUGUAAACCCCUUUCAUCAGGGACGAAAUUGACGGUACCUGAAGAAGAAGCCCCGGCCAACUACGUGCCAGCAGCCGCGGUGACACGUAGGGGGCGAGCGUUGUUCGGAAUUAUUGGGCGUAAAGAGCUCGUAGGCGGUUUAGUAAGUCAGAUGUGAAAGGUUGGGGCUCAACCCUAAGACUGCAUCCGAUACUGCUAUGACUAGAGUCCGGUAGAGGAGUGUGGAAUUCCUGGUGUAGCGGUGAAGUGCGCAGAUAUCAGGAGGAACACCGACGGCGAAGGCAGCACUCUGGGCCGGUACUGACGCUCAGGAGCGAAAGCGUGGGUAGCAAACAGGAUUAGAUACCCUGGUAGUCCACGCCGUAAACGUUGGGCACUAGGUGUGGGACCUUAUCAACGGGUUCUGUGCCGUAGCUAACGCAUUAAGUGCCCCGCCUGGGGAGUACGG